GCCUUGUGCAUUCGGAUGGCCAUGGUUUCUGAUAGCUACAGGAUUUCCAGGGCAGAGCCUUCUUCUCUGUUUAUGGUAAUCUAGCCCGGGUUCCCCCACAGGUCAGAGCAGCGUUGGGCGGGGCCAAGGUUGACUCCUACUGGGAGGAGCCGGGAUGCCGCUCCCGCUGUGAUGCAGAGGGGAAUUUGCUGAUAGUCCCUUGCCAGGUGGAGCUGGCUUUACCAGGCCGCGGAAAAAAGGAGGAGGAGGACCCACCGGCAGUCGCCUUUCAGAGCUUUGAAGGAACCACUUUUGUAGUCAAGAACUGGUGAACGCUGCAGGGUGACUUGGAAGCACCUCUUCCCUCUUCCUGGUCGAGAACAGGAAGGCCUGAGGACCUAGCCUUUCAGCCUGAACUCUCACCGACACUUGCUGCUCCAGCAAACCUGUAGCUGAAUAGAGGCUUCUGGUCUGACGUGGACCUUCCUUGGAGAACUGCCUCAGGUGGGAAAUGGCGUGUGUGUGUGUGUGUGUGUGUGUGUGUGUGUGUGUGUGUGUGUGU